rnacentral:rRNA from 1 species
UGUCCAGACUCCUACGGGAGGCAGCAGUGGGGGAUAUUGCACAAUGGGGGGAACCCUGAUGCAGCAACGCCGCGUGAAGGAAGACGGUUUUCGGAUUGUAAACUUCUGUUCUUAGUGAAGAAGAAUGACGGUAGCUAAGGAGCAAGCCACGGCUAACUACGUGCCAGCAGCCGCGGUAAUACGUAGGGGGCAAGCGUUAUCCGGAUUUACUGGGUGUAAAGGGGGCGCAGACGGCAGCGCAAGCCAGGAGUGAAAGCCCGGGGCCCAACCCCGGGACUGCUCUUGGAACUGCGCGGCUGGAGUGCAGGAGGGGCAGGCGGAAUUCCUGGUGUAGCGGUGAAAUGCGUAGAUAUCAGGAGGAACGCCGGUGGCGAAGGCGGCCUGCUGGACUGCGACUGACGUUGAGGCCCGAAAGCGUGGGGAGCAAACAGGAUUAGAUACCCCUGUACU